GGGUACUUUGAAUACCUGGAGAUCUGCCUAUUGUGGAGCAGAGAAAGCCCCGUUUCACCACAAUCUAUACUCAGGAAGGUUGAGGUGGCUCAAGCUGCUGAACUAAGCAAAUGGGUCCUCCAAAUGCCUGGAGAUCUGCCUGGGCAUGGAGCAGAAAAGGCCCCACUAUAUCUUGAUCUAUGUCUAUGAAGGGUGGGGCAGCUCAGGCUGCUGGUCCAGGCAAACAGGUACUCCAAAUGCCUGGAUUUCUGCCUGUGGCUAGAGUGGAUAGGGCCCCACUGCACCAUGAUCUCAGGGGAACAGGAUGGAGCACCCAGAAAUGGCGUGCACAGACUGGUUCCAAGUCACUAAGCUGACCCUGGCUGCAAGUCUUGCUGCUCAGGAGAAACUGCAGUGGUAGCAGCUCCCAUCCCAUCCUAGUCUUGCAAUGGGGAAUAACAAAAUUCCAGUGCCUACUGCUGAGGUACUUUUCAUAGUUCUAGCUCUGGAGACCCCUAUGCCACUCUAGAGCAGGCACUCCAGUCUCUGACCUGAGACUAAAAUGCCUGCAUGGCUACACUGCCAGGUUGCUAAAGAAUGGCUGACUUUAUGUCCCUGGGUUAAAACACAUCCUGCUUUUGGUCCCAGGUCUGGGAAAAUGCCUGUAGUGUUCCCCAGUGUCUUUUUUCUCAUAGCAUCUCCAAGCUCCUCCCCAGGUUGGCUGCAAGGCUUAGGAUAAACAAGGUGUCCUCCCUUGGCCUGGGUUGCUCGGAUCCCCAGUGGAAAGGUGUGGAUCUGUUUCAGUUUAUCCUACUUAGAGAUUGUUGAGCUUCUUGGAUGUUGAGCUUCUUGGACAUGAAGAUUAAUGUUUUUCAUCAAAUUCCUAGUAAGCCCUGAUAAACUGACUCAUACAAGAUGGGAAUGCCUACCAUGAAAUGCUGAGAUGGGAUAUGACAGUGACAACAAAGGCUGCUGCUGUAAUGUGAUCUCUCCAGAUGGGUUCUUU
rnacentral:lncRNA from 10 species